AGGACGAACGCUGGCGGCGUGCCUAACACAUGCAAGUCGAACGAGGUCCAUCCAGUGGCAACACUGGUGAAGACCUAGUGGCGAACGGGUGAGUAUCACGUGAGGAACCUGCCCCGAAGACCGGGAUAACCCUCCGAAAGGAGAGCUAAUACCGGAUGCCCUCCCCAGACCGCAUGAUCUGGGGAGGAAAUGGAUUCCGCUUCGGGAGGGCCUCGCGGCCUAUCAGCUUGUUGGUGGGGUAACGGCCCACCAAGGCUUCGACGGGUAGCUGGUCUGAGAGGACGAUCAGCCACACUGGGACUGAGACACGGCCCAGACUCCUACGGGAGGCAGCAGUGGGGAAUCUUGCGCAAUGGGCGAAAGCCUGACGCAGCAACGCCGCGUGGGGGAUGAAGGCUCUCGGGUUGUAAACCCUUUCAGCAGGGACGAAUUUGACGGUACCUGCAGAAGAACGCCCGCCAACUACGUGCCAGCAGCCGC
rnacentral:rRNA from 1 species